rnacentral:rRNA from 1 species
GACGAACGCUGGCGGCGUGCUUAACACAUGCAAGUCGAACGGAAAGGCCCUGCUUGCAGGGUACUCGAGUGGCGAACGGGUGAGUAACACGUGGGUGAUCUGCCCUGCACUUCGGGAUAAGCUUGGGAAACUGGGUCUAAUACCGGAUAGGAGCCAUCUUUAGUGUGGUGGUUGGAAAGUUUUUUCGGUGUAGGAUGAGCUCGCGGCCUAUCAGCUUGUUGGUGGGGUAAUGGCCUACCAAGGCGGCGACGGGUAGCCGGCCUGAGAGGGUGUACGGCCACAUUGGGACUGAGAUACGGCCCAGACUCCUACGGGAGGCAGCAGUGGGGAAUAUUGCACAAUGGAGGGAACUCUGAUGCAGCGACGCCGCGUGAGUGAUGAAGGAAUUCGUUUCGUAAAACUCUGUUCUAUGGGAAGAAAAGGACUGUACCAUAGGAGAAAGCUCCGGCUAAAUACGUGCCAGCAGCCGCGGUAAUACGUAUGGAGCGAGCGUUGUCCGGAAUUAUUGGGCGUAAAGGGUGCGCAGGCGGCUUUACCAAGUUGGACGUGAAAUAUUGUGGCUCAACCACAAACGUGCAUCCAAAACUGCAAAGCUUGAGUUAAGGAGAGGUAAGUGGAAUUCCUGGUGUAGCGGUGGAAUGCGUAGAUAUCAGGAGGAAUACCGGUGGCGAAGGCGACUUACUGGACUUAAACUGACGCUCAGGCACGAAAGCGUGGGGAGCAAACAGGAUUAGAUACCCUGGUAGUCCACGCCGUAAACGAUGAGUGCUAGGUGUUGGGGGUCAAACCUCGGUGCCGCAAGCAAACGCAAUAAGCACUCCGCCUGGGGAGUACGUGCACAAGCAUGAAACUCAAAGGAAUUGACGGGGACCCGCACAAGCAGCGGAGCAUGUGGUUUAAUUCGUGGCUACGCGAAGAACCUUACCAGGGCUCGACAUAUAUAUGAGGGGACAUAGAGAUAUGAAACCAGUAAGAGCUUGCUCUUAACAUAUAUACAGGUGGUGCAUGGUUGUCGUCAGCUCGUGUCGUGAGAUGUUGGGUUAAGUCCCGCAACAGGCGCAACCCUUGCAAUUAGUUACUAACAGAUAGUGCUGAGGACUCUAAUUGGACUGCCGAUGAUAAAUCGGAGGAAGGUGGGGAUGACGUCAAAUCAUCAUGCCCUUUAUGUCCUGGGCUACACACGUGCUACAAUGGUCGGUACAAAGAGGAGCGAAAUGGUGACAUCAAGCAAAUCUCAAAAAACCGAUCCCAGUUCGGAUUGUACUCUGCAACUCGAGUACAUGAAGUCGGAGUUGCUAGUAAUCGCGGAUCAGAAUGCCGCGGUGAAUGCGUUCCCGGGUCU